rnacentral:rRNA from 1 species
UACGUAGGGUCCGAGCGUUGUCCGGAUUUAUUGGGCGUAAAGAGCUCGUAGGCGGUUCAGUAAGUCGGAUGUGAAAACUCAGGGCUCAACCCUGAGACGCCAUCCGAUACUGCUGUGACUUGAGUCUGGUAGGGGAGAACGGAAUUCCAGGUGUAGCGGUGAAAUGCGCAGAUAUCUGGAGGAACACCGAUGGCGAAGGCAGUUCUCUGGGCCAGUACUGACGCUGAGGAGCGAAAGCGUGGGGAGCAAA